AGCCUAUCAUCCCCCUUCCUAAGUUGAUAGUGAGUCUUAUUAAGUGGUGCUGUGUCAUAAAGUGUUGAGUUGUGUCAGCUGGAAAUGGAACAUGAUUAAGUAUAUAAAGGAGCCCCAGCCUCGCCUGCCACAACAUUAUACAACAGAAACCUUGGCAGUGUGCUAACAUCUUUUCUUUCUCUCUUUCCUGGGGAGCAGCGAGCCCGCCUCUCACCAUGUGGGUCCAGUUGUUGGUCCUGGGCUCAAGUUGGCCAAGUGCAGAGAAGCAAGCUAACAGGAGAGAGAAAAAAGGUUCCAGCUCUGUUAUAUAACGGCACUACAGUAACGCACCCCGGUCCUUGGCAGCCCUGUAAAUUCCUCCUCUCUGAAUUGUUGGUUCGGGACAAUCAUUCAGCAGGGAAUUACUUUCUCAUCUAUGAAAUAAAUGAGAUGUUAAACUAGU